UUUAUCUUCCUCUCCGUUUCUUUCCACAUUUGAGUGUAUGGAGAUGAUAUUUACUUCCUGAAGAGUCCUCACUGCGCUUUCCUGAGAAUCGUUUCUUCUUCACAUAUCCGGCGGAGAAUGCAGGUUCCGGUGGCGAUCGGUAUGAGCUGAAGUUGAAUUUCUCAGGCAGCGGUACAUCCUUCUUUAAGGAGCAGAUUCUUACAUAUCAGGGACAAAGACUAAGCUGUCAUUAUUAAAAUUUUAUUCGAUACUUUGCAUUACUAAAAUGAAAUCAAAGAGGGGAGGUGGCAAUCAAUCCCUUGCUGGUGCUGUUAGUUUAUCGCCCAAGAGUAAAAGUGUGAGCCCUCAGUAUGGGAAGCCAUCUGGAGGCUCUGGUUCUGGUAACAACAGCCCCGAGGUGGACCAGCUGAGUCAUGAUGUUGCAGACAUCAGCCUGGAUGGUGCACAAGGUGGUGAGUGGGAGGUUUGUGCAAGAAAGCCCAAGAACCGGGAAGGAACUGGUACUGCAAAAGCAAAACCAUGGGGCCCUCAGAGCCCUGGUCCUAAAGCCUGGGGCCAACCAAAUACAGCACAGAAGCUUGGCCUGGCUAGUAAUGGUGGAACAGGUAGGAGUCCUGGUGAUGUGUGGCAGACACAGGUUACUGAUCCUAGGAGACCAGCUGGAAGAGGAAACCCAAAAGCCAUUUCAUCUAAUAGAGGAUGGGAGAAUGCUUACACGGCACCCCUGCCUCAUUUAUCUCCUCCUUUACAACAUAGAUGGCAGCGGUCUAGUCGUGCUGGUGGACAAGCCAGGGCUUCAGAAGAUGGCCUGGGAAAUGUUAAGAACUCUAAACCUUAUGUAGGAUCUGCUGGCGGAGAGGACAAUCAUGGGUAUGACAUGGGUUCUCGUCAUUAUCCUGUUGAUGUUGAUGAUGAUGGUGAACCAUUGGAUGAUGAUGAUGACAUAUUAAGUGAUGAUUCUGAUUCUGAUGAGAGCGCAAAAAGCCCUGAGACACUCAAAAAAAGCAAGUGGUUUAAGGUAUUCUUUGAUGCCUUGGACAAUUUGACCAUUGAACAAAUAAAUGAAUCAAUGAGACAGUGGCACUGCCCAGCAUGCAAAGAUGGCCCAGGUGGUAUUGACUGGUACCGAGGCCUGCAGCCUUUGGUCACACAUGCAAAGACAAAGGGAGCGAAAAGGGUGAAGCUCCAUCGCCAAUUUGCUGAAUUGUUGGAUGAGGAGCUGCGCGUGAGGGUAACUUCAUUUAUACCAGCUGGGGAAUCUUAUGGUAAAUGGAAAGGCCUGCAACAGACAGUUACUGAUAAGGAGAUAGUCUGGCCACCUAUAAUUGUCAUUAUGAACUCGAGACUUGAGCAGAAUGAGAAUGAUGAGUGGAUUGGAAUGGGAAAUCCGGAGCUUCUUGAUUAUUUUAGUUCAUAUGCAGCAGUCAAGGCUCAGCAUUCCUAUGUUCCUCAAGGCCACCAAGGAAUGAGUGUACUGAUUUUUGAGAGCUCUGGAAUUGGCUAUGUAGAGGCUGAGCGUCUGGAUGAACAUUUUCGUAAAGAAGGAACACAUAGGGAAGCUUGGGAGCGUCAUCGGGUACUUCUCUCUGCGGGUGGGAAACGUCAGCUGUAUGGUUUUAUGGCAUGCAAAGAAGACUUGGACAUCUUCAACAAACAUCAUGGCAAGUCAAAGCUGAAUUUUGAAAUAAAAUCUUACCAAGAAAUGGUUGUGGGCCCAAUGAAGAAAAUGAGUGAAGACAAUCAGCAAUUGAACUAUUUUAAAAAUGAGGUGGUGAAAGAACAAAGGCAUUCAAAGACUCUAGAGGAAUCAUUUGGGGUAUUGAAUGAGAAGCUGCGGAAGACUAUGGAAGAUAACCUCAUAGUGAGGCAGAGAACGAAAGUGCAGCAUGAACAAAACAAAGAAGAGUUGGACUACCAAGAGAAAUUUUUCAAGGAUCAAAUCAGUUUUAUUCAACAAUCUCUAGAGGAGAAGGAGAGAAACUUCGAGAAGCAACUACAGGAAGAACGUCAGAAAAUGAAGCAAUCAAAUCUGGAUUUCAUGUCCAAAGAGGAUCAGAAACUAAGUGGUGAUGAGAUGGGAAGAUUCAUCCAAGCCCAGGAGAAGGGGGUGGAAGAGUUUGUAGCAGAGAGAGAAAACCUGAUAAGAUUGCAUGAGACAAAGAAGGCUGAGAUAAAGAAGAGGCAUUUUGAAGAAGAGAUCGGGCUGGAGAAGGAAUUUGAAACUGCAAUGACUGAACUGAUGUCCAAAUACAUUCCAGUUCGCGCCAAGGAAGGCAAUGUCAGCAAUUCUUAGGUGUGAUGUGGUAUGCGAUGGGAACUGCCUUGGCAGUAUAUAACCCAGAAGCUUGUAAUAAAUAAAGCUCAGAACAAAGGGACAGUGAAUGAACGCUUUCGCCUUGCUUGUAGGAAUAUAGUUCUGGUGAUCUCCUAAAGAGUGUCAAGGGUGUUGUGAGUUAUGUGGUUGGCUCACUUUGAACAGUGGACGUGUUAUUGUUCGUGAAGCAUCAUUACAUUGCAGUAAUUUCAGGUGGUGGCCAUUCAUAAUUUUAUUGUACUAUUUACUAUGGUAACAGUUUCAAUUUUUCUGUCAAUGAUGUCUUAAGUAUGAUAAUUAGCUUAGCCUAGUGGUGGUAGCUUCGGCUUGAAGAACCGAUGCCCAGGGGAGGAGAUUAUGGGAUCGAAGCUUGUCACAUGCAAUUAUUUGUGGGUGUGUGUGUAGAAGUCGGUGAUCGUUGGUC